ensembl:snRNA U6 U6 spliceosomal RNA
GUGCACCCUUCCGCAGCACAUAUACUAAAACUGGAAUGAUACAGAAAAGAUUAGCAUGGUCCCUGAACAAGGAUGACACACAAAUUUGUGAGGUGUUCCGUAUUUAA